AACACGUGUGCAACCUGCCUUUAUCUGGGGGAUAGCCUUUCGAAAGGAAGAUUAAUACCCCAUAAUAUAUUGAGUGGCAUCACUUGAUAUUGAAAACUCCGGUGGAUAGAGAUGGGCACGCGCAAGAUUAGAUAGUUGGUGAGGUAACGGCUCACCAAGUCAGCGAUCUUUAGGGGGCCUGAGAGGGUGAUCCCCCACACUGGUACUGAGACACGGACCAGACUCCUACGGGAGGCAGCAGUGAGGAAUAUUGGACAAUGGGUGAGAGCCUGAUCCAGCCAUCCCGCGUGAAGGACGACGGCCCUAUGGGUUGUAAACUUCUUUUGUAUAGGGAUAAACCUAGAUACGUGUAUCUAGCUGAAGGUACUAUACGAAUAAGCACCGGCUAACUCCGUGCCAGCAGCCGCGGUAAUACGGAGGGUGCAAGCGUUAUCCGGAUUUAUUGGGUUUAAAGGGUCCGUAGGCGGAUUUGGUACGUCAGUGGAUGAAAUCUCACAGCUUCAACUGUGAAACUGCCAUUGAUACUGCAAGUCUUGAGUGUUGUUGAAGUAGCUGGAAUAAGUAGUGUAGCGGUGAAAUGCAUAGAUAUUACUUAGAACACCAAUUGCGAAGGCAGGUUACUAAGCAACAACUGACGCUGAUGGACGAAAGCGUGGGGAGCGAACAGGAUUAGAUACCCUGGUAGUCCACGCCGUAAACGAUGCUAACUCGUUUUUGGGUUUUCGGAUUCAGAGACUAAGCGAAAGUGAUAAGUUAGCCACCUGGGGAGUACGAACGCAAGUUUGAAACUCAAAGGAAUUGACGGGGGCCCGCACAAGCGGUGGAUUAUGUGGUUUAAUUCGAUGAUACGCGAGGAACCUUACCAAGGCUUAAAUGGGAAAUGACAGGUUUAGAAAUAGACUUUUCUUCGGACAUUUUUCAAGGUGCUGCAUGGUUGUCGUCAGCUCGUGCCGUGAGGUGUUAGGUUAAGUCCUGCAACGAGCGCAACCCCUGUCACUAGUUGCCAUCAUUAAGUUGGGGACUCUAGUGAGACUGCCUACGCAAGUAGAGAGGAAGGUGGGGAUGACGUCAAAUCAUCACGGCCCUUACGCCUUGGGCCACACACGUAAUACAAUGGCCGGUACAGAGGGCAGCUACACAGUGAUGUGAUGCAAAUCUCGAAAGCCGGUCUCAGUUCGGAUUGGAGUCUGCAACUCGACUCUAUGAAGCUGGAAUCGCUAGUAAUCGCG
rnacentral:rRNA from 1 species